rnacentral:lncRNA from 1 species
UUCAUUGCAUACAAAGUUUGGUUAUAAUGGAAAUUAUGCUCAGGACAUUCUUGAAGUUUGUGGUGAUUCUUGCUGCUAUCGCAUGUGCUCUAGUUGGCAAUGUGCAAGGUGACACAUCUUGUUGUGAAAGAGGUGAAAUAUGUGACCCACCCCCUUGUAUUAGGCGCCCAUGUUGUGACCCACCAUUGGGAAAAAUGAAGCCAUAAUAAUACUUGGUUUCUCUUUUAUCUUUUCACCAAUCAUUUUGUAUUUACAAAAAGUUCUUCUCAUAUCUAAUAAUCUUAUAAAUAAAAUUGGUGAAUAAAUUUUAUGCAGUAUAUAUUGGCG